AUAGUGUUCCGAGGGGACAGAGCCGUGAUACCUGACGCACUCAGGGUGGACAUCACUCACAGGAUCCACUCCUCUCACCUAGGAGUUGAAGGAUGUCUGAGGCGAGCGAGGGAGUGUGUAUACUGGCUUGGAAUGAAUGAGGAGAUCAAGAACUUCAUCUCCAAAUGCGACAUAUGUAGGUCAGUGGAUCCAAAGCAACAAAGAGAGACACUACACCCACAUGACAUGGCAAGCAGACCCUGGGCCAAGGUAGGAACAGACCUUUUCUCCUUUCACAAUAAAGACUAUCUGAUAACAGUAGACUAUUAUUCAAACUUUUGGGAGGUUGAUUAUCUGCCUGACACUAAAAGUAACACAGUGAUCAAAAAACUCAAGGCCCACUUUGCCCGACAGGGGAUCCCGGACAUUGUUAUCUCAGAUAACGGACCCCAAUAUGCAUCACUAGAGUUUCAGCACUUCAGCCAAAAGUGGGGCUUUGAACACAGGACAUCGUCGCCGGGAUACCCACAGAGUAACGGGAAGGCGGAGUCAGCGGUGAAGACAGCCAAGCGCCUGAUGCUGAAAGCUGCAGCAGCGAGACAGGAUCCGUACUUGGCCAUGCUGGAUCAUCGCAACACACCGAGCCAGGGCCUCAACACAAGCCCGGCACAGAGACUCCUAAUCAGAAGGACCAGGACCCUGCUUCCCACUAAGGACACUCUGCUGAAGCCAGAGGUAACACACAACGAACAGGGACUGAAAUACAACAGACAGAGACAGGAAAAGUACUACAACCGCACAGCAAAAGACAUGGACACUCUGAAAGGAGGGGACAGUGUGAGAGUACAGCCCUGGGACACACACAAGGGCUGGAGACCAGCGAAAGUGGUCCAACAGGAUCCACAAGCAGUGAGACCAGAAAACUGGGUGUUAACUGGACGAGCCAAAGGUGGGAAGGACCAUCCAAAGAGCUCCUGACCAUGCCAACAGCUGUGAAGAUCGCUGAAAGGCCAUCCUGGAUUCAUCUCAGCCACUGGCCACUCGUCUCAACGUCAGUGAAGAAAUCAACUGAUCCCUGUUCUUUAGAGUCCUGGGUAAAAUUAACAUCUCUGCUAACCUAGCAAAAAUGGGGUUCCCAUGCAGAUGGGACUUCUUUUGCGUUGUGGCUGUGCGUGCAUUAUCUGUUUGAGUUCAGAUCCGGUAAAUGAGAGAGGAAAGAGGUUCAUCCACUCCACUGCCAUGAAGAUUUGGCUGGGUGAUAUCCCAAACCAUCAUGUUGACAACCUAUGGGAAACGUAUGCAAGAACUGUAGUGCAGCAGCAUAACAAGACUGACUGCUACGUGUGUUCUGUCAUGAACACCUCACAGGCUAUUUGUUUUGCAUCAUAUGCAUUCCAGUUUAUGCCUGCUCAAUUGAUAAAUGCCACGACUGGGGAGAUUAUGAUGGAACAAGUGUGCAAAGGAGUAAAGUCGUCACUGUUCUCUUACAGUAAUGUUACAGGCUUUCCCACCAAGAUGAAGGCUGUUAUGUCUAAAGGAAUGAAACAUCCAGUGUGUAUUCGCUCACCUGGAGGGAAUGAUACGGUGAAGGUAGGACAUGCAGCAGGAUGCCAGAGUACCAUCACUGACCUUUACUUUGACUUUGUCUGCGGCAUUGUCCCUAAUGGAACGUACACCAGCUGUUCUACUUGGAAACCACAAGUCAACUUUCCUACAGAGGGUGGCUGGUUCUUGUGUGGAGGAGACAGUAUCUAUCCAUCAUUGCCUAUAAACUGGUCAGGUACAUAUGCUCCUGUUUUUGUUUCUGACCACACUGUUAUCAUCUCAGCUUAAGCUGUGAAGGACCAUCACUCCUCUGAUAGGAUGAAAAGAGAACUCAGCUCCAGCUCAGUUUUCCAGCCCCAUGAUCGAUCCCAUAUGGGGUUCUAACAUUCCCUCUAAACAUAAACACUGGAGUACAGCGAAUAAAAUACUUUGCUGUACUCUUGACUUUCACUUUUCCGUGGUUUGGAGUUGGUAAAUCUAUGCUGAUGAUUGAGACACUGGACUACAGAAUGAAGACCCUGGUAAACAUGACGAUGGACAUCAAUAAAGGACAAAACAAACAAUUAAGUGAAAUGGGUUUAAUGGUACUACAAAACAGAAUGGUUUUGGACAGGUAAACUGCUAGCCAAGGUGGCGUAUGUGUAAUGAUUGGAAUUUCCUGCUGUAUGUACAUUUCUGACGCAAAUGAAACUCAUAUUACUGAAGCUAUGUCUGCUUUAAAGAAUCUGCAACAAGCAAUGUCCCAGGAUACUGUUCCUCUAAGUAUGAACUUUCUCUCCUGGUUCUUUUCAGGAUCGUGGUGGCACCUUUUACUGAAAAUAAUGACACCCAUUAUUAUUGUUCUUAUUAUUCUUUGUGUUUUUACUGCUUGUGUAAUCCCA